rnacentral:rRNA from 1 species
UGGGGAAUAUUGGACAAUGGGGGAAACCCUGAUCCAGCCAUCCCGCGUGUGCGAUGAAGGCCUUCGGGUUGUAAAGCACUUUUGGCAGGAAAGAAACGUCAUGGGUUAAUACCCCGUGAAACUGACGGUACCUGCAGAAUAAGCACCGGCUAACUACGUGCCAGCAGCCGCGGUAAUACGUAGGGUGCAAGCGUUAAUCGGAAUUACUGGGCGUAAAGCGUGCGCAGGCGGUUCGGAAAGAAAGAUGUGAAAUCCCAGAGCUCAACUUUGGAACUGCAUUUUUAACUACCGGGCUAGAGUGUGUCAGAGGGAGGUGGAAUUCCGCGUGUAGCAAUGAAAUGCGUAGAUAUGCGGAGGAACACCGAUGGCGAAGGCAGCCUCCUGGGAUAACACUGACGCUCAUGCACGAAAGCGUGGGGAGCAAACAGG